rnacentral:piRNA from 1 species
CAAAGCAGGUGAUUUGUCUUAAUCAGA